UACGAAGGGGGCUAGUGUUGCUCGGAAUCACUGGGCGUAAAGGGCGCGUAGGCGGCGUUUUAAGUCGGGGGUGAAAGCCUGUGGCUCAACCACAGAAUGGCCUUCGAUACUGGGACGCUUGAGUAUGGUAGAGGUUGGUGGAACUGCGAGUGUAGAGGUGAAAUUCGUAGAUAUUCGCAAGAACACCGGUGGCGAAGGCGGCCAACUGGACCAUUACUGACGCUGAGGCGCGGAAAGCGUGGGGAGCAAACAGG
rnacentral:rRNA from 1 species